rnacentral:rRNA from 1 species
AACAGGAUUAGAUACCCUGGUAGUCCACGCCGUAAACGAUGAGUGCUAGGUGUUGGGGGGCUACGCCCCUCAGUGCCGAAGGUAACCCAUUAAGCACUCCGCCUGGGGAGUACGGCCGCAAGGCUGAAACUCAAAGGAAUUGACGGGGGCCCGCACAAGCGGUGGAGCAUGUGGUUUAAUUCGAAGCAACGCGAAGAACCUCACCAGGGCUUGACAUCCCGCUGACCCCUCCAGAGAUGGAGGUUUCCUUCGGGACAGCGGUGACAGGUGGUGCAUGGUUGUCGUCAGCUCGUGUCGUGAGAUGUUGGGUUCAGUCCCGCAACGAGCGCAACCCUUGUCGUUAGUUGCCAGCAUUUCGGAUGGGCACUCUAACGAGACAGCCGGUGAAAGCCGGAGGAAGGUGGGGAUGACGUCAAAUCGUCAUGCCCCUUAUGUCCUGGGCUACACACGUGCUACAAUGGCUGGUACAAAGGGCAGCGAACCCGCGAGGGGGAGCCAAUCCCAAAAAGCCAGUCUCAGUUCGGAUCGCAGGCUGCAACUCGCCUGCGUGAAGCCGGAAUCGCUAGUAAUCGCGGAUCAGCAUGCCGCGGUGAAUAUGUUCCCGGGCCUUGUACACACCGCCCGUCACACCACGAGAGUUUGCAACACCCGAAGUCGGUGAGGCAACCUUUUAGGAGCCAGCCGCCGAAGGUGGGGCAGAUGAUUGGGGUGAAGUCGUAACAAGGUAACC